rnacentral:rRNA from 1 species
UACGUAGAAGACGAGUGUUAUUCAUCUUUAACAGGUUUAAAGGGUACCUAGACGGAAAAUCAAGCCAUAGUAGGGACUAAUUUUCUAGAGUUUUAUAGGUGAAGAUCGAAUUACCUGAGGAGCGAUGGAAUGCAUUGAUACAGGUAAGACGGAUAGCAGCGAAGGCAAUCUUCUAUGUAAUAACUGACGUUGAGGGACGAAGCCU